rnacentral:rRNA from 1 species
UACGGAAGGGGCAAGCGUUGUUCGGAAUCAUUGGGUUUAAAGGGUCCGUAGGCGGUUUGGUAAGUCAGUGGUGAAAGCCCAUCGCUCAACGGUGGAACGGCCAUUGAUACUGCCAGACUUGAAUUAUUGGGAAGUAACUAGAAUAUGUAGUGUAGCGGUGAAAUGCUUAGAGAUUACAUGGAAUACCAAUUGCGAAGGCAGGUUACUACCGAUGGAUUGACGCUGAUGGACGAAAGCGUGGGUAGCGAACAGG